rnacentral:rRNA from 1 species
UACGAAGGGGGCUAGCGUUGUUCGGAUUUACUGGGCGUAAAGCGCACGUAGGCGGAUCGUUAAGUCGAGGGUGAAAUCCUGGAGCUCAACUCCAGAACUGCCUUCGAUACUGGCGAUCUAGAGUCCGGAAGAGGUGAGUGGAACUCCUAGUGUAGAGGUGGAAUUCGUAGAUAUUAGGAAGAACACCAGUGGCGAAGGCGGCUCACUGGUCCGGUACUGACGCUGAUGUGCGAAAGCGUGGGGAGCAAACAGG